GCGCUUGCUUGGGCAGCACAUAUAUUAAAAACUGGACUGAUACAGAGAAGAUCAGCAUGGCCCCUGAGCAAGGAUGACACAAAAAUUGGUGAAGUGUUCCAUAUUUUU
ensembl:snRNA U6 U6 spliceosomal RNA